AAAGGGCAUUUUAGUA
rnacentral:sRNA from 1 species